AUACGGAGGGUGCAAGCGUUACUCGGAAUCACUGGGCGUAAAGCGCGCGCAGGCGGGCUGAUAAGUUGGAUGUGAAAGCCUACGGCUCAACCGUAGAACUGCAUCCAAAACUGUCAGUCUAGAGUGUGGGAGAGGAAGAUGGAAUUAGUUGUGUAGGGGUAAAAUCCGUAGAGAUAACUAGGAAUACCAAAAGCGAAGGCAAUCUUCUGGAACACUACUGACGCUGAGGCGCGAAGGCGUGGGGAGCAAACGGGAUUAGAUACCCCAGUAGUCC
rnacentral:rRNA from 1 species